AUAAUUGAAGAAAAUACAAGAAUAUGUUCACAAAUUUGCCGGUAAAAACCCCCCAAUCCACCGGUAAAUCGAACAAAAGAAAAAAUCCACCCCUCCUGAAAAACAAAUCCAUCGGUAAAAACCCUGAAAAAAUCACCUCCUAAUUCCAUCAUUUUACCAUCUCCUCGCCCCUCCAUCCACCCAUUCUCAGCCUUUCACUCUCAUUUUCGCUUCUCACCCAAAAUACAGCGGAGUGAAAAACACUCAAAACCACAGCCAGAGAGAGGAAAGAUCAGCAGACAGGGUCUUGGAAUUUGGGAUUUCUGCUCCGAGUGAUUAACACUUUGGAGGGGGUUUUGCAAAUUUGGGGUUUUUUCUCUGAGUGGUUAACGUUUUGGAGGGGGUUUUGUAAUUUGGGGUUUUUUUCUCCGAGUGAUUAAAGCUUUAGAGGGGGUUUUGCAAUUUGGGGUUUUUUCUCCGAGUGAUUAACGCUUGUUUGCUGAUACUGAUGCUGAAGUUCAGUCAGUAUUUCCAUGGCAUGAGUGUCUUUCCAUUAGCCGCAGCAACCUUUGGACUAAAAACUUUCUUCACGAUUUUACAGCAAUUUGGACAAAACCCCAUGUUUAGCCCAGUUCCUAGUACAAGGAGAUGGUGGAGGGUGAUGAGAAGAAGGUGACUGUUAAGUGGUUUUAUUAACAGAAAGGGUUUGGGUUUAUGACUCCAUCUGAUUGAAUCUGAAGGGUUUAUGCGGCUUCAAUGAAGGGGAGACAGUGGACUGCGCGCAGGGUGGCCGUUUGUUGCUUUCUGUGAGAUGCAGCAGCAGAGGAAGCAGGUGGCGGACACAACACAAAGAAAUCCAAGAAAGAAAAAUCCCACUGAUAAAAACCCUCAACACCAUCCCUCUCUUCCUACCUCACUAAUAUGUUUGAACUUGUAUCUAAAGACGAUUGCUUAUAACAAAUUUUCGUUUGCAAAGAUUUGGCCGAUGGCUGUUCAGUUUAAAUACGGCAGUUAAAUAUUGACCAGCAAGGCGAAUUUUGGGGUCGGCGAUUGGCAUGGCUCCCAAAGAUAAGAUAUCUAAGAAGUACGUCGAGAUAGAGCUGCAACUUGGUAAUUUAGAACGAUGUAGGAAGCUGUAUGAAAAAUACUUGGAGUGGUCACCAGAGAACUGCUAUGCAUGGAGCAAGUUUGUUGAGUUGGAGAGAUCCUUCGUGGAAAUUGAAUGAGCUAGAGCUCUUUUUGAGCUUGCAAUUGAUCAACGUGCGCUAGACAUGCCUAAGCUGUUAUGUAAGGCAUAUAUUGACUUUGAGACAUCUGAUGCUGAAUAUGAAAGACGAGAGGCUUUUGAACCGCACAAAACAUUUGAAGGUGUGGAUUAGUUAUGCCAAGUUCGAGGCAUCUGCUAUGGAUGAGGGCUUGCAGGAGUCAGACUUGCGUGGAAGUGAUUAUGAACAAAAGAGGAAAUGCCUUCAGCAAGCCAGAUAGUGCUGUUCUAGGAGCAAAGGAUUUGCUUAAGCGAUCAAAUGGCAUCGAUUAAUUGCACAGCAGAAAGGCAGGAUAGAGCAAGGUUUCAAGGCAAAAGUUAUGCUAAGGCGAUCCCGUUACUUAUGCGUUGUAGUUUUAGUUUGUGAUCUUCUUGAAGUCGGAGUUGGCUUCUUCAAAAAUAGGCUUCUGGAAUUCAUAAUUGGAAUGACAUGUGGUGACGUUUUUGAGAACUUUGCAGUCUCUUUUUUCAAGCAUAAAGGCAAUAGGCACUGUGCUCUUCCGUGCUUGGACUCAGGUCGAAGUUUGUCACUUUUACCAUCCUCUGACAACAACAUUGCAACCACUUGAUAGGACUUGGCAGCGAAUGAAAACACUUGCUGAACUAAGGAUGAAAAAAACCCUCCAAACAAGGAUUCACUUUACAUGGUGAGAACAUCCAAUUAUAACUCCUUUCUUUCCUAAUCCAACCUUAAGAAAGAAAUAGAAAUUGAUUAAUAAACAAAUUGAGGGGUACUUCUACACAGGUAGAUUGUAUUUUAAUUGGUGAUUUUAAAAAAUUUAUUCUUUAAUAUGUUUUGUUAUUUAUUAAGUUUUAGCUUUAUUAUUUUACAUUUAUGCUCCAUGCACAACUUUAUAAUUAAAUGUUAUCAUAUGUAGACUAAGAAGAUAAUUUUUUUUAUUAAAAGCUAUUUAGUAUUAUUCACCUCGUUAAUAAGUUUUAAUUGACUUAAAAAAUUAGAACUACUAAUAGUCGUCUUUUCAGUUAAAAGCUACUAAAAUUAUAUUUAGGUGGUAGUAGUACUAUCAUUUUAUAACUAAUUCUCAUUAUUAAUAAAAAUAGUCCUUAAGGGUAUAAAUGUCUUCUCACACUUUUGUCUAUGUAGUUUAAAGAAAUUUAGGAUUAUUAGAUAGCUUAUUUUUCUAUUAAAACUUUGUCUCUUGACAAAAUUUUAUUUAUUAUUAAAAAGAGUUAAGUUAUUAUUCACAGUUUUUAUGUAUAAUAUAGACAAAGAUUACCUAAUUUUAUUUAAUCAAAAUAUUAUUUAUUAUUCGGUGUUGGAUCCAGUAUGAGAAUGGAGGUAAUCCUUUCAUCUUUUGAUGGCUCCUUUAUGCAUUUAGUUAUUGAGGUGAGUAUGUUUCUUCUUCACUCUACACAAAACUCUUGUUUGCAGUUUUUGAUUUGUUGCGUUUGCUUUCCGGGUGUUACUGAUACAUAAUUGAACAUGUGUACUAUUUGUGCCUUCAACAUGUUUAUGGAAUAUGGCAUUUGCCUUUGAUGAUUCCACCUUCCUAGAGUAGGUGGAUAAUUUUCCUCAAAUGUAAUCAAUAACUAGACAUGCUUAUAUUUCGUUGUGGAUACAUCAGAUGAUACAAAACAAUAACAAAGUAACUGAGAAAUAGAAAGGAAAGGAUACUGAUGUUAAGUUACCCCAAUUUUGUGUAAGUUGGGAGUAUAAGGUAUGUGAUAGUGUUUGAAACAUUACAGUUGGAAGUUAUAGGAGUCAGAUUCAACUCUUGUGUUAUUGUGUUUGGUCGAUUUUUGUCUAAAGUGUUAUCGUACUGUUUUUCACUAGAAUUGGGAUUGAUGUGUUUGAAUCCUUGUAUAGAUGUUAAAAUUGUUUGUGGUAUUUCUGAGAGAGCAUAUGCUAAAAUCAGUCAUUGAUAGCCUGGAAAGUUGCUGGCCUCUACCAUUCUGGGCAGAGUCAGUUGGCUCCUUCAAAAACAGGCUUUUGUAACUCAUAAUUGGAAUGACAUGUGAAGAGGUUUUGGAUAACUCUUUAGUCUCUUCACCAGCAUAGAGAGAAAAGGUAACUUGCCUUGUGGCAUUCAUGAUCGCAUUGUGGCAUGUGAAUUGAUUCGGUUCAACACAUUGUUGCCUGACUUUCUGAAUUUGUUCCAAGUAUUAAAACUCUACUGUUGCUCUCCAUUCUUUAGCUUUUGGGUGUGUAGGUUACACAUUCAACCAAAAUAUAACCUUGUAAGAAUCCUAGGUUGUUCCAAAAAGAGUUCUAGAUUGUAAGAUGAGAAUUGCUAGGUUGUUACAAAAAGAUUAUGUUUUCCUCCUUUCCCCCCAUACAUCGUAAAACUCUUAAAUACUACUUUCCUAUUGUGGCAUGUGAAUUGAUUCGGUUCAACACAUUGUUGCCUGACUUUCUGAAUUUGUUCCAAGUAUUAAAACUCUACUGUUGCUCUCCAUUCUUUAGCUUUUGGGUGUGUAGGUUACACAUUCAACCAAAAUAUAACCUUGUAAGAAUCCUAGGUUGUUCCAAAAAGAGUUCUAGAUUGUAAGACGACAAUAGCUAGGUUGUUACAAAAAGAUUAUGUUUUCCUCCUUUCCCCCCAUACAUCGUAAAACUCUUAAAUACUACUUUCCUAUUUCUUUUGUCAAUCUAGGGAAUUACUCUGUAGGAAUGUGUGUGAGGAUUCAAAAUUUUUAUUUGGGGGUUGAUAUUUUUUAAUGAACACCGAUCUUGUGAAGGAAGUUGGUGGUGUAUCUUGAGAAAAAUAUGCGAAUUAUCUUGUGGUAGCACUUGAAUUUUCUGAAUGUUUUCUUGUUAUAUCCCUUGGAUAAAUAGAAUAUUUUGGUAUAAGUCGUGAUAAGUAGGAGAAAGGAGCACUAGUGGCAUACAAAAAAAUAAGUUGUGUGAAGUGUGUUCCGUUGACUGCAUCAAAUGAACAAUGUUCAAGAAUCAACACAAAAGUCGUUUGUGUGAGCUUUUGUACCUAAGCACUUCUGCUUAAAUAGUGCUCGUACAUUUCUUUUGAUUGAGGGAAUCAAACUUAUUGUGUCCAUUCUAGAACUUGCUUGUGUAAUACAUUUUGAGUCCACAUUCUUGUAAGAUUUGAGUCCACAUUUGAGUAGUUUGAUUGUUCAAAUCACUUGAAUCUAUUUGAAGGGAAAUGAGAAAGAUGAGCAACUAGGUCGGCUUCAGUCCUUUGAAUUAAUAAGCUACAAUUCGACCUUUGUUUUUCCACACCUUGUCCUAAACCCCAUUACAACCCAUGGAAAGACCUUUUGAUUCAUCCAUUAAUUUGUAUUUCGUUGGUGGAGGAGAUUUGAUUCACAAGCAAGCCUAUGGUAAUGACAUGCUAUGUAUUGAUUUGAGUGGGACCCAAAUUCUUAAACACUUUAUGAGUGAUUAGAGUGAUACCUUUGUGAGAGUGUUGAGAUUUGUUUCAUUUGAUUUUGAUAAAGUCAAUGGAAUACUUGUGUGUUGAAUAUUAUGCUACAAGUGCUUGUUCUCAGUAUUGUUGUCUCUUCUUAAACUAUUAAGUCAUGUUAUUGUAGGGAUAUACUUGACUGACGUGAAAGGAAAUUUGUGAAUUGCCACUUGGAUAAUUCGUAUAUUUGAAUUGGGACAUGCUUGAGGGCAAGCAUGGUUUUAGUAUGGGGAAUCUACUAAUUAUAUUUUAAGGCUCCUAUGCAUGCUUAUUUCGAGUCAUUGCGAAGGAUUUUAUUGUAUAGGUUAGUGUUGUUAAGUUAUCCAAAUUUUCUCGAAGAUGGGAGUGUAAGGUAGGAGAUAAUUUUUUACACAUGACAAUUUGAAGUUAUAGGAGCCAGAUUAAACUAUUGUUUUAUGGUGCUAGGUGGAAUUUUGCAUGUCUUAUAUUUAAUGUUGUUUGUUGUUUACUUCACUAAUAGGAUCAAGAGUUUAGGUAAAUACUAUUUUCCUCUUCCUUUUGUCAAUCUGGGGGUCCAUUUUUUUCACCCAAAAACACUACGGUGGAGUUAAUCUUAACUGGUUAAAUUCGCUGCACAAAGAGAAUUGUAUGAGAUUACAACAAAAUAUUGAAACUGUUAUGGUCCUCUUGGAGGAUAUGUUAAAAUUGAUUGUGCUAUUCCUGAUAGUGCAUAUGCUAAAAUCUUUCAAUUUACAACCUCGAGAGUACAUGGCUUAUGUCAUUCUGGGCCGUCUAAGUUAGCUUCUUCAAAAACAAGCUUCUGGAACUCAUAAUUGGAAGUGGCAUGUGGUGAUGUUUUUGAAAACUUUGUAGUCUCUUUUUCCAAGUGUAAAGACAAAAUGUAAAUUGUCUUUUGUCCUUGAUGGUCUUAAAAUAUUACUUUUUCUAGCUUUUUACAUUAUGAUUUUCCAUUAUUUUUGUUGUGUUAGAUGCAUUAUUAAUUAAUAUUACAUGUAAACUUAGCAAUGUUAUUUUAUAGAAUGAAUCUGCUUGUGUGGUAGACACUGUGCUCUUGCGUGCUUGAACUCAAGUCAAAGUUUGUCACUUUUACCAUCCUCUAACAACAACAUUGCAACCACUCCAUAAAACUUGGCGGGUAAUGAAAACACUUGCUGAACUAAGGAUGGAAAUAAACCUUCGAGUGCUAGUCAACAAGGAUUCUUUUUACACGGUGAGGAUAUCCAGUUAUAACUCUGCUUUCCUACUCCAACCUUAAGAAAGAAAUAGAAAUGGAUUAAUAUAAACAAAUUGAGGGGUACUUCGAACACAGGAAGUUUGAUAAUUUUUGGUGAUUUAUAAUAUUUAUUCUUUAAUAUGUUUUGUUAUUUAUUAAAGUUUUAGCUUUAGUUAUUUAAGUUUAU